AAACCACCUGCCAAGAUAGGGGGCGGGGCUUCGGUUAAAUUGAUUCUAGCACUACUUCACGAGCUGCUAAUUAAAAUUAAGUUAGCUGGAUAACUAAAUUAUUUCUUCUGUGACUCAAAGUCUCCACUAGCAGUAGGGGGUAAGAUGUUGAAGCACAAGUGGAAACAAUUCGGCCGGAGGAGGAAAAUCAGUGGAGUUGCUGCUCACCGAAGCCAACACUUAAGGAGCUAACUAAUGUUGGACAGGAGCCAGCCUUACAAACAGAUGGCCGAAGUUAGCUGCUGACCUUCGGGAGAGACCUUAGUUACCUGCAAGAGCACAGAUGACUGAUGAAUAUCCUGAAAUGGUUCAACUCCAACACUCGCUGACUUCAACUAAUGGCAGCACUAAGAGAACUGAAAUUACCUCACCGAUGGAAGACGGUAAUCGAUUUCCAGGUCACAUGAGACUGGAGGUUGUAGGAGAUAUGAAAUAAGAGAAAUGAGAUGCAUCUAUGACUUAUCCCACUCUGUGGAUUGUUGAAAGUCCUUCUGGGAAGCUCAGUUAAUCACUAACUCGGGAUGAUCCAGCAAGGCGGCCUGAGAGAAAAUGGGUUCACCAAGAAAGUAAAUUACAACACGUCAUUAUGAAAUAACUCCUGUAAUGCUUCAAAUCCCAUGUUGAUCAUGUCUUUUGCUUUUUAUUUUCAGCCAUGAUGCGAAUAGUGCUUAAUUUGAGAAGGGUUACUACUGUAAGGCUAGUAGGCAUGAUGCUGAAACGAAACGAAACGUCUAUCUAAUCAGUUGUUGGAGUCAGUUAUCAGGAAAAAUGCCAAACAUUCUUUGGUUUCAGCUUCUCAAAUAUGAGGAUUUGCUGCUUUUCUCUGUUUUAAAUCACUGUAAAUUGAAUACUUUUGCAUUUUAGACUAUUGGUCGGACAAAACAUUGAAGACAUCACCUUGAGUUCUGGAAACAUGUUACAGUAUGGACUAUUUUACACUAUUUUUGACCUUUGAUAGACAAAAUGAUUGUUUGAAAAAUGUAAACAAAAAUUAUUCAAUAAUGAUAAUGUUCAUUAGUUGCAGCCCUACUUCAAAGACCAAUGAAAAGAGUAUAUAUUAUGAUUUCCCCAUCUACUGUAUAUGUCAUAACAUUAUUACAUUCCAUUGACUGUGAGAUACAGUUUCAAGAAUGGAGCAAAUACCUGAGAUAAGCACUCAAAAAGAUGAUUAAGUCCUGUGCAGUGCUUCAAAUUGAUGUCAGAGCAUUACUCACACAGACGCCACCACUCAAUCAUGCAUUCUUUAUUCGCCUCUUAAUUGGAAGGAAUGCAGUUUUUAAUCCGACAAGCUGUCUUCUCUUGAGAUGUCGCUGCUGACUGUGUAUGCUUUAAAUUCUGAAUGACACUGCAAAUACCUGUUGAUGCGGUCUGUGUAAUGGAAGCUGGCAGAUCAUCUUCUGCGUCCCAAUCACCCGCUGCCAAAGUGCAGCUUCUGCACUCCUGUCAUAGACUACAUCAAACAGCAGCGACUUUCAAAAGCAGACAAGUUGUACCGAUUAGCAAAGACAGAUGAGUGAACUUUGUCAAAACUGAUUGGUUAUAAUUGAUGGUGUGAUGACAAAGUUGCAAAUGUUGCUGGACUUUAUAAAAAAUAUUGAAAAGAGUAACAGUAUGUUAGCAUUGGGUGGCUGUGGCUUAGAGAUAGAGCAGGUCGUCUACUAAUCGGAAGGUCGGCGGUUCGAUCCCGGCUUCCCCCUUGGGCAAGAUACUGAGCACCAAAUUGCCCCCAAGGGCUGUGCGAACGAGUUAGUUUCUUUUCAGUUGGCACCUGCCAUCAGUGUAUGAAUGUGUGCCAAUGGGGUGAACGUGAUAUGUAGUAUGAAGUGCUAUCCUUAUUUGGGGAUCAGUGCUAAGACAACAUUUAACAUAAAGGUGUUUUACCUUGAAACUUGAUUCACAUUUAAAUUGCUUCCACCUAUAUUCACAGUUUGAUACCUGGGGGAAAAAAAGGCGAUGUACAGAUUUUAUAUACAGAUAUCACUAAACAACAGACUGAGCUUGUACCGUCUUUCUUAUCGUGUGUCUUAAAGCUGUGAGGCUGUUUCCACAGAGCAAACAAACAUUAACCAUCAGAGGAGCAGAUACAUUAAUCUGCAGAACAUCGUCUCCGGCAGACAUUCAUAAACCAUCUGUUAUGACAGCUUACAUUGCUAAUUACACUUGCUGCCUAUUGCAUUUCAAAGACAAUACGACCAUUCUUCUAGGGCCUGUCUGUAACAAAAAUGUUGUCAAUACACUAACUGCACAGAUGUCAGCUGUAGCUAGCUAUCAACAUACACUGACCAUGUGUGGGUGCUGAUUGUGCCUUGGGACGAAUUCUAAAUUUACCAGGAACUCCAAUAAUCCAAUAUAUAAUUAUUAUUUUUUUUAUUUUCUAAUUUUCCUCUCCUUCAGGUUCAAAAUAAGCACACAUUUUUCGCUUAGGUUGAAGCAUUUCUAACUCAAGUAGAUGCGCCUUCACCUCAAUUUGCGACACAUAUUAUAAUUUGUUAUCACUUGGCAUAAUGCAUUCACUCUUCAUCUUUCCAUUGAUUUUUAUACAGUAUGCAAUUACGCUUUCUAAAAUCCACUUUGUGUACUGUCUAUGUACCCACUUUCUUAAUGCAUAGGUAAAGAAGCAGCCCUGACUGUGAACGCCUACCUUCCUUUAAAGGAGAGAGAGCACACUGUAGCCAGUGGUUAGUAUGUCUGAUAAAUUGACUAAUCGUUACAGCUCUAACAAUUAGUCUGUCAACAGAAAAUAAAUCAAACAAUUUUGAUAAUCGAUAAAUAGUUAUUAAAGUAAUUUAUGAGGCAAAAAAGCCUAACAUUUGCUGACUGCAGCUUAUUUAAGACUUUUCUCUGUCUUCUAUCAUAAAUUGAAAAUCUUUUAGUUUUGGACUGUUGGUCAGAUAAAACAAGUAUUUAGAAGACAUCACCUUGGGCUAAUUGUGAUGACCAUUUUACAGUAUUUUGUGAUGUUUUGUAGACUACUAAUCAAAAAUUUUUAAUGAAAACAACAGUUAGUUUCAGCCCUAAUGUCUAUUCAGUAUGUCCACCCUUGGUGACAAAGAUGUGAAAAUACACAAAGAGGAUAGCGCAUUGAUUAAAAAAAAAAAAAGAGUCCAAAAUGGAGAUUAAUGUGGGAGAAACAGGGAGGCAAGUUCGCAAGAGCAAAAUAUGAGAAGAAGCGAGAAAGGGGAAGUAGAGGACUAACAGAAAGAGAUGGAGGCAAAAAUCAAAAGGCAAAAGCACAAUCCAGCUGCUCCUCAUGGGCUUCUUUCAUCUCGUCCCUUGAUGCUGAAGUUGUGGUGUUGGUAAAGAGGAAAGAGCCUCUUUCAGCUUAAAGUUUUGAAGUCACAUGUCCAGAGGAAAUCAGAGCUUUGUCAUAAGUAUCUGAUUGCAGAUUAUCCAUGUAUUGCUCAUUUUUAAAAAUUCCUCUUCUACAGUAUGUUUGUGCAUAACAAGUCUUUU